GCCGUGCCUCCACACGGGCCCUCCCUGGCCACCACUGUUCGGGAUUCAGUUCUUGUUUCUGUUGUUACUCAGAGGGCAUAGAGGAGACCGGCAUACCCAGCGGCCAAAGGCAGGGCCCAGGCGGGGGUGAGCACAGGCUGGGACUCUAUUCCCUGGGGUGAUGGAAGACUGGCUCUUGAGCUGCAUCCUUGGUAGCUUUUCCUUCUUCAUCUCAUUGCCAGUGAGGACACUGAGGAGGAGAAGGAGGUGAGGAGGAGGAAAAAGAUGAGGAAAAGGAGAAAACCAACCACGAUCCACUGUCACCAAAUGAGCAUGCCAGGUUGCCAUGCUGCACAGCUCCAAGAAGCACCACUGUCCAUGUGGUCAACAUGGAUGGAUCCCUGAGGAGGUGUCCAGCAGCAGCCUGCAUGCCAUGCGUGGCUCUGAAGUCAAUAAUCCUGGAAAAAGGGUCAUUCCUUCCCAAUAAACGACAGUGGGCUAUCUCCCGCAGACACCCACGAAAUUUCCCUCCUUUUCCUUCCAUGGAGGACUGGUGAAAACGUCAUCAUGGACCUGACCUGCAUCUGGAGACCAUCCCUCAGAGGUGCUGCAGAGCUCCUUUCUGCCCAGGCAUUUACGGGCAGUCCCGACAUCAGGCACAGCAGCUGCACUUUUCCGAAGCCCCUUUGCG
rnacentral:lncRNA from 1 species